UAGUGUUGUACAAGCUGUACAUACAUAGAAGAAAUUGAACCAAAUAUUUCGGCCCCCUUCCUGUAUUAGUAGAACCCUGGAGAAGGAUGAAUAUACAGAAACCUGAUUACUAAAAUAAACAUGUACUGUAUGCACUGUACACUGUACUGCAGUAUGCUCUGAGCCAGAUUUAGGUCUCAGUUGACAAAAGUCUGCUGCUUGGUAAAUCAGAAUUAAUAUUCAGAAUCUCCGGUAGAGGCUGAGUGGGCGUUUCCUCUCUCCCCCUCCCCCCCCUUCAUACUUCAUCUCUCUGCGUCCUGAGAGGUUGAUGUAUAGGAGCAAUGACGACCUCGCCAACCCUCUUGGAAAGGUCAAAGUCGUUUUUAUGUUAUUUUACACUGAAAUAAAUUAUUGUACAAAUUUA